GCGGCUUAAUUUAACUCAACACAGGAAAACUUACCAGGUCCAGACAUAGUAAGGAUUGACAGAUUGCAGUUCUUUCUUGAUUCUAUGAAUGGUGGUGCAUGGCCGUUCUUAGUUGGUGGAGUGAUUUGUCUGGUUAAUUCCGAUAACGAACGAGAUCUCAGCCGUCCAAAUAGCCGUAACUUGAUCUCGCGGCUUGCCGCAUAGUCAAGUUCUUACCUCUGGUGCAUGUAAUUUUGGCUUCUUUGAGGGACAACCUGUUUCCAGCAGGUGGAAGUUUGAGGCUAUAACAGGUCUGUGAUGCCCUUAGAUGAUCUGGGCUGCACGCGCGCUACAUUGGUGCAUUCAGAAAGUUCCUUGCUCGUGAGAGCUAGGUAAUCAAUAAAAUGCAUCCAAGUCGGGACAGGCGAUUGCAAUUUUUCGCCUCGAACAAGGAAUAUAUAGUAAACGCAAGUCAUCAACUUGCAUUGACUGCGUCCCUGCCUCUUGUACACACCGCCCGUCGCUUCUACCGAUUGAAUAAUAAGGUGAACUGUGUGG
rnacentral:rRNA from 1 species